UACGGGAGGCAGCAGUAGGGAAUCUUUCACAAUGGGCGAAAGCCUGAUGGAGCAACGCCGCGUGCAGGAUGACGGCCUUCGGGUUGUAAACUGCUUUUAUAUCCGAGAAAUAUGAUGGUAAGAUAUGAAUAAGGAUCGGCUAACUACGUGCCAGCAGCCGCGGUCAUACGUAGGAUCCGAGCAUUAU
rnacentral:rRNA from 1 species